UUAUUUUCUUUAAUACUCUCUAAAUGUUCAAGGCCAGUCACUUUGUCUUCCAUCUCUGAGAUUCUGUCUUCAGCAUUGUCUACUCUAUUAAAGAGACUUUUAACUGAAUAUUGUACUUGAUUUAUUCUGUCAUUCAUUUCCAAGAUUUCUAAUUGGUUCAUUUUUUCCUUAAUAUUUAUUUAAUUGUAGAUGAACACACAGUAUCUUUAUUUAUUUUUAUGUGGUACUGAGGAUCAAACCCAGUGCUUUACACAUGCAAGGCAAGUGCUUUACCACUGAGCUACAGCCCCAGCCCCGUCUAAUUGGUUCUUUUUAAAAUCUCUUUCUCCUUACUGAAUUUCUCAUUCAUAUUGACUUCCUUAAAUCAUUCAGUCAUUUUUCUGUGUUCUCUUGGAAUUCAUUAUUUUUAUAAUCAUUCUUUUGACAUCUUAAUCUGAUAUUUCAUCCAUUUCAAUAUCUUUGGGGUAAGUUGCCAGUUAACUAUCCCUUGUUUUUUCACAUUUCUUGUAUUCCUGUGUCGGAGUUUAUGCAUUUGUUGGGAUGUAUAUAUCUUUCAUGCUUAUGAUUGGACCACAGCUUUCCCAUGCCAAAUUGUCCUAGAGUAAUCUAGAUUGAGACCCCCCCUCACAGGUGUGGUAUUCUCAGGCUUUGUGGUAAUUCUGUGUCAUUGUUGUUGUUAUUUGUUGUAGAAGUGGAUGUCCAGAGACUGUAAACCCACCCAUAGAGAUUUCUAUUUGGAGCUUUGGGUUUUAGUCUCUUCUCUUCUUCGUAGAAAAGUAUAGCUGUAGUUUGAGUUUGGUUAAUUUAUGUGUGGAGCAAAGUGUGCUUUCUUUUGGCUGAGUGAGUUUAAUUCAGUAUCAAAAUCUCUUCCCUGUGAACUUUCAGUGUCCCUGUGUAUUACCUGAACCUCACAGAAAAAAAGGGAAACAAGUAAUAGCACACAGAGAAGAAAAC
rnacentral:lncRNA from 1 species